rnacentral:rRNA from 1 species
AUUGAACGCUGGCGGCAGGCCUAACACAUGCAAGUCGAACGGUAACAGGAAGCAGCUUGCUGCUUUGCUGACGAGUGGCGGACGGGUGAGUAAUGUCUGGGAAACUGCCUGAUGGAGGGGGAUAACUACUGGAAACGGUAGCUAAUACCGCAUAACGUCGCAAGACCAAAGAGGGGGACCUUCGGGCCUCUUGCCAUCGGAUGUGCCCAGAUGGGAUUAGCUAGUAGGUGGGGUAACGGCUCACCUAGGCGACGAUCCCUAGCUGGUCUGAGAGGAUGACCAGCCACACUGGAACUGAGACACGGUCCAGACUCCUACGGGAGGCAGCAGUGGGGAAUAUUGCACAAUGGGCGCAAGCCUGAUGCAGCCAUGCCGCGUGUAUGAAGAAGGCCUUCGGGUUGUAAAGUACUUUCAGCGGGGAGGGAGGGAGUAAAGUUAAUACCUUUGCUCAUUGACGUUACCCGCAGAAGAAGCACCGGCUAACUCCGUG